GAAGAAGGAGAGCUUGCUCGAAUUAGAUUGGAUUCCACUAGUGGCGCAAGGGUGAGUAACACGUGGGUAAUCUACCUUCGAGUCUGGAAUAACAGUUAGAAAUGAUUGCUAAUGCCGGAUGAUAUUGAGAACGAUACUUCAUUCUUUAUUAAAAGGGGCCUUUAAAGCCUCGCUUGAAGAUGAGCCUGCGCCGUAUUAGCUAGUUGGUGGGGUAACGGCCUACCAAGGCGACGAUGCGUAGCCGAACUGAGAGGUUGAUCGGCCACACUGGGACUGAGACACGGCCCAGACUCCUACGGGAGACAGCAGUUAGGAAUAUUCGUCAAUGGGGGAAACCCUGAACGAGCAAUGCCGCGUGAAGGAUGACGGUCCUAUGGAUUGUAAACUUCUGUUGUUAGGGAAGAACGACUAGUAUAGGAAAUGAUACUGGAGUGACGGUACCUUUCAAGAAAGCUCCGGCUAACUACGUGCCAGCCGCAGC
rnacentral:rRNA from 1 species